rnacentral:misc_RNA from 1 species
AAGUCGUAACAAGGUUUUCGUAGGUGAACCUGCGAAAGGAUCAUUAUCAUGUAAUUAGUUGAAUUUUGUGAAUAUAGACUUUUCUUUUAUUUAAUAAAGAGAGUCUAAUAAUUAAAGUAUAAUAUAGUCAAAUUUUUUAAAAAAAGAAUGACUUUUAACAAUGGAUCUCUAGGCUCUU